rnacentral:rRNA from 1 species
GAUGAACGCUGGCGGCGUGCCUAAUACAUGCAAGUCGAGCGAAUGGAUUAAGAGCUUGCUCUUAUGAAGUUAGCGGCGGACGGGUGAGUAACACGUGGGUAACCUGCCCAUAAGACUGGGAUAACUCCGGGAAACCGGGGCUAAUACCGGAUAACAUUUUGAACCGCAUGGUUCGAAAUUGAAAGGCGGCUUCGGCUGUCACUUAUGGAUGGACCCGCGUCGCAUUAGCUAGUUGGUGAGGUAACGGCUCACCAAGGCAACGAUGCGUAGCAGACCUGGGAGGGUGAACGGCCACGCUGGGACUGAGACACGGCCCAGACUCCUACGGGAGGCAGCAGUAGGGAAUCUUCCGCAAUGGACGAAAGUCUGACGGAGCAACGCCGCGUGAGUGAUGAAGGCUUUCGGGUCGUAAAACUCUGUUGUUAGGGAAGAACAAGUGCUAGUUGAAUAAGCUGGCACCUUGACGGUACCUAACCAGAAAGCCACGGCUAACUACGUGCCAGCAGCCGCAGUAA